GGCGCAAGCCUGAUGCAGCCAUGCCGCGUGUGUGAAGAAGGCCUUCGGGUUGUAAAGCACUUUCAGUCGUGAGGAAGGUAGUGUAGUUAAUAGCUGCAUUAUUUGACGUUAGCGACAGAAGAAGCACCGGCUAACUCCGUGCCAGCAGCCGCGGUAAUACGGAGGGUGCGAGCGUUAAUCGGAAUUACUGGGCGUAAAGCGCAUGCAGGUGGUUUGUUAAGUCAGAUGUGAAAGCCCGGGGCUCAACCUCGGAAUUGCAUUUGAAACUGGCAGACUAGAGUACUGUAGAGGGGGGUAGAAUUUCAGGUGUAGCGGUGAAAUGCGUAGAGAUCUGAAGGAAUACCGGUGGCGAAGGCGGCCCCCUGGACAGAUACUGACACUCAGAUGCGAAAGCGUGGGGAGCAAACAGGAUUAGAUACCCUGGUAGUCCACGCCGUAAACGAUGUCUACUUGGAGGUUGUGGCCUUGAGCCGUGGCUUUCGGAGCUAACGCGUUAAGUAGACCGCCUGG
rnacentral:rRNA from 1 species